GUAUCCAUGCCAGAGUAAGUUGCAGUCUCAAAUUGCCCAGCCUCCUUGCCUAUAGGCCAUGAGCACUGAAUGGGGUUAUACAGUG
rnacentral:snoRNA from 1 species